GCCUUCGUAGUUCAAUGGAUAGAACAAAUCCGUCCUAAGGAUAAAAUGGGGGUUCGAUUCCCUCCGAGGGCA
rnacentral:tRNA from 3 species